rnacentral:tRNA from 1 species
GGGCCGGUAGCUCAGCUGGUAGAGCAAUUCCCUUUUAAGGAAGAGGUCCCGGGUUCGAAUCCCGGCCGGCCUACCA